rnacentral:rRNA from 1 species
CCAGACUCCUACGGGAGGCAGCAGUGAGGAAUAUUGGUCAAUGGACGAGAGUCUGAACCAGCCAAGUAGCGUGAAGGAUGACUGCCCUAUGGGUUGUAAACUUCUUUUAUAUGGGAAUAAAAUGUUCCACGUGUGGGAUUUUGUAUGUACCAUAUGAAUAAGGAUCGGCUAACUCCGUGCCAGCAGCCGCGGUAAUACGGGGGAUGCAAGCGUUGUCCGGAAUCAUUGGGCGUAAAGAGUUCGUAGGUGGCACGUUAAGUCUGGUGUUAAAUGCAGAGGCUCAACCUCUGUUCGGCACUGGAUACUGGCGAGCUUGAAUGCGGUAGAGGUAAAGGGAAUUCCUGGUGUAGCGGUGAAAUGCGUAGAUAUCAGGAGGAACAUCGGUGGCGUAAGCGCUUUACUGGGCCGUAAUUGACACUGAGGAACGAAAGCCAGGGUAGCAAAUGGGAUUAGAUACCCCUGUA